rnacentral:rRNA from 1 species
UUCUUUGGAAUAUUACAUCAUAGAGGGUGAGAAUCCCGUAUGUGACCAGUCGCCGCGCCCGUGUAAAGCUCUUUCAACGAGUCGAGUUGUUUGGGAAUGCAGCUCAAAAUGGGAGGUAUAUUUCUUCUAAAGCUAAAUAUUGGCCAGAGACCGAUAGCGCACAAGUAGAGUGAUCGAAAGAUGAAAAGCACUUUGGAAAGAGAGUUAAACAGUACGUGAAAUUGUUGAAAGGGAAGCGCUUGCAACCAGACUUGCACGCAGUUGAUCAUCCGGUGUUCUCACCGGGGCACUCUGCUGCGUUCAGGCCAGCAUCGGUUUUGGUGGUUGGAUAAAGGCCUUGGGAAUGUAGCUUCUUUCGGGGAGUGUUAUAGCCCUUGGUGCAAUGCAGCCUACCGGGACCGAGGACCGC